rnacentral:piRNA from 1 species
UCUGUCGUGAGUGGCACACGUAGGG